CCCUUAGACGUCCUGGGCCGCACGCGCGUUACACUGAUGCAUUCAACGAGCUUGCAACCUUGGCCGAGAGGCCUGGGCAAUCUUGUUAACGUGCAUCGUGGUAGGGAUAGAUUAUUGAAAUUAUUAAUCUUGAACGAGGAAUUCCUAGUAAACGCAGAUCAUCAAUCUGCAUUGACUACGUCCCUGCCCUUUGUACACACCCCCCGUCGCACCUACCGAUUGGGUGGUCCGGUGAAGCCUCGGGAUUGUGGUUCUUGCCGCUUUAUUGUGGCGUGACCGCGAGAACUUGUCUAAACCUUGUCACCUAGAGGAAGGUGAAGUCGUAACA
rnacentral:rRNA from 1 species